GCGUGUAUACAAUUGUUAGCAACGAAGUUGGCUAGUGCCUGACAAAACCUGUUACGAACCCUAGCCCCCAAACGCACAUCCAGCAGCUCCGCCGCAGCUCCGCCACGGCAGCACUCCGUGGGCGUUCUGUUCCGCCGCACAAGCCACCACAAGUCCUCUGACCGACCUCCUUCACUCCGUACUCAGAGAGAAAUGGGAUUUGCUGGAGCCCUGAGGAACAUUGUUCGCCCUCUCUCAUCAACCCUAACUUCUCGAAUCAUCUUAACAUCUCGAGUCUCCGCCAAUGGUGCUUCAACGGCACCGUUUCGUCCUGCUUUGCCAUCUUCGCAAUGGCUUCUUCCCCUUUCGAAGCACUUCAACAGCUUGACCGACACGCGCUUCCCCAAGAGACGACCCUCUGAUAAGCCUCGUCGAAAGAGGGCCAGUUUGAGACCUUCUGGGCCUUAUGCUUGGGUUGAAUAUACACCUGGCCAGCCCAUACUUCCAAAUAAGCCCAAUGAAGGGAGUGUCAAGAGAAGAAAUGAGAAGAAACGGAUGAGGCAGCGCCGCGCCUUUAUAUUGGCGGAAAGGAAGAAAAGGAAAGCUCAACUGCAAGAGGCUAAUCGGAAGAAAAAUAUUCAGAGGGUAGGACGUAAAAUGGCUGCAGUUGCAAGGGAAAGAGAAUGGGCAGAAAGACUGGUUGAGUUGCAGCGACUUGAGGAAGAGAAGAAAAAAUCUACAGCUUGAAUUCUUUUGGGACCGUAUCUGCAAUUGGUGGGAUGGUGAAUGGGAAAGUAAAAGGGGACUAUGUGCAUGAUUAUAUUUCAGUUUGUCAGUGACCAAUGCUGGAGAUGUACACUUGAUCUUGAAUAAUUGUAAUAUAUGUUCGAAUAUGAUUGAAUAUGUGAACUGGUGUGAUUUCUUGUGUAUAGAUUUAAGCCUAGACCCUGCUAUAUUGUGUUCUGGCUUAUGAGACUACAGUUAGCUGUCUAUGUCAGUUGUUUAGACUAGUGCUGACUCAGCACUGUUAGACUACUCUCUCAGUCUCCCCCUAUAAAUACUUCAUUAUUGUCUCAGAUAGUUAGCAAUAAUGAAAAUCAUUCUUUCAUUUUCAA